rnacentral:rRNA from 1 species
GASGGAYUGCCMCACUCAAAKGGGGAGGAWGGUGGGGRUGACGUCAAGUCAGGAUGGCCCUUWCGGCCAGGGCUGCACACGUAYUACAAUGCCCGGCACAAUGGGAAGCAAGACCGCGAGGUGGAGCAAAUCCUAAAAACCGGGCUCAGUUCAGAUUGAAGGCUGCAACUCGCCUUCAUGAAGCUGGAAUCGCUAGUAAUGGCGCAUCAGCUACGGCGCCGUGAAUACGUUCCCAGGCCUUGUACACACCGCCCGUCACAUCAUGAAAGCCGGCUGUACCCGAAGUCAUCGUGCCAACUGCAAAGAGGCAGAUGCCGAAGGUAKGGCUGGUGAUUGGGAUGAAGUCGUAACAAGGUAACAAGMC